CAUUCACACUCCACACAAGUUUAGCAGGAGCUUCUUCCUCUCUCCAUCCACACUCUCUCCAUUGCUCCGUCCCGCUCUCCCCAUCGCAGGAACUUCUUUCACCACCGCCGCUCUCCCAUCGCUCCGUCCACGAAGAAGCUCCAUCGCUUACGAGCUUCAUUUUCCUGCUUCUGUUUGAGCUGUGUUUCAGUCCCCUCCAUUUAGAUCUGCGCUUCUGAAUUUUAGAUCGCGUUCCGAUUCAAUUUGAGACAAUAAUCACUUCCGUCAUUUAAAAGAUCGAAUGCAGACAUGGUUGUACUUGCUGCAUCCAUUGUGGGCAAAUCUGGUAAAGGGCUUCUUUCUUUUGGAUGCAAUUCUGGUUUCUAGGCAGUUUAUUGAUAAUGUUGCGCAGAUAUGUGUACUAGAGUUCUGUGAAGAUAGUUUACCUCUCCAAAUUUAUGUGAAGACAGAAAGUUAUGAGAAGAUAGCUUACCUCUCCAAAUUUUUGGAUAUGAAUUGUAGCAUUUCUCAAGAUGAAUAUCCUUUCCCACUUCCCAUUCAAUUUUCCUUAUAUGAUUAUGAUUAUUACUAUUAUUUCAGUAGAAACAGUAAUGAACAUCCACCACUGGAAUGUUGGGCACACGAGUUUUCAAUACAAGAUAUGGAGUGUUACCCUUCACUUCCUUUUUAUGAAACUCUCUCCAUUGAACCAAUUUCAACUAUUAAAGUGGAUGCCGGCUUUGAUUGUUCGGAAAAAGUAGUUUCGUCAUCAUCAUUAAGAAAGGCUUUGAUUGUUAAAUGUGUAUGGAUUUGUCUCUGUAUUUCGCUGACAAAUCAGAGGUGAAAACUGAUGGAGCAAACUCUAAGGGAAGAAGAUGCAGCUAACUAGGUUUACAGGGGUGAAGGAGCUGUUAAUCUUAUUCUUGCUUACAAUGGAUCAAAUCCUUCUUUUGCGGAGAGAAAGCACAUAUGUUGGAAGACUUGUUCAUAGCUCACAUUGUUGGAAUGGACACAAUGGCUCGUAGAUUCAAGAAUGCUGCUAAGUUAAUUAAGGUACCAUUGCUUACACCUAUUUAUGAAUAUUUUUCUAAUUUAGAUCUAGAGACUCCAUGUCAAAAUUUCACUCAUAAAUUAUACUAAUUUUUUCUUUUUAAUUUCCAUUAUAUGAUACUGGACCAAAGGAUGGUUCCCUUGCUCAGUUUGUUAAAAGCGAUACCAGAUUUUUGACACUAACCUAGGUGCUCAGAUAGAUGUUCAAAUUUUUAUUCUACUUUUUGUUGGUUCAUUUUUUUGAAAUUUGGUGAAGGAAAACAUAAAUGGAUUUGAUAAGCUUCAACCUGUGAUAAAGGGCUUUUAGUUUCCAAUUUUCAAGUUAGUGUUGAGCAUCAUAAUCAGCCCUUAACAUGAUUUUGAUAUCUGCAGAAAAGAGCAACUCAACAGGUAUUGUCAUUGUAGUGAUUUAAUGCUUAAUUAACUACAAAUAUGUCAUCAAUGGUCAUGUUUGAAUCUAAUCAUUAUUUCCUACACGUUAAUACUACGGAAGCUACUUGUAUAUUAUAUAUGCACAUUGUGAUAAUAAGAAACAUAUUAUGAUGGUCUUCAUCUUGCUUAACGGCAAAAAAGUGUAAAGGUGUUCAUAUAUAGGCGUUUUGAGGUUAUCAAUAAAGUUACAUAGUCUUAAGUGGAUUCUCUUAAGUGAAUUCAGGUG